rnacentral:rRNA from 1 species
GGGUGCGUAACUCGUGGGAAUCAGAAAUUGGGUUCGGGAUAACAGUUAGAAAUGACUGCUAAUACCUUUUCCCGUCUUCGGACCAAAGAUUUAUCGCCCAGGGAUGAGCCCGCGUCGGAUUAGCUAGUUGGUGAGGUAAAGGCUCACCAAGGCGACGAUCCGUAGCUGGUCUGAGAGGAUGAUCAGCCACACUGGGACUGAGACACGGCCCAGACUCCUACGGGAGGCAGCAGUGGG